GCACGACGACAAUGGCAUGAUGGCGAUGGCACUGCGGCAGUCUGAUCGGUGUAGGGGAUUUCAAGAGAGAGAUGAUGUGCUGCCCCUUCCAUCAUGGCGGCAGCAUCCAAGCCAGGGAAAAGAAAGAAAAGGCUUAUUGACGACAGCUGCGGUGACGACAAAUUACAGCAGACGGGGCAGAAUCUGAUAGGUAUAACAUCCAAAUAUUUUUUGAAACAUGGGGGAU
rnacentral:lncRNA from 1 species